UACGAGGGGGGCGAGCGUUAAUCGGAAUUACUGGGCGUAAAGCGUGCGCAGGCGGUUUGUUAAGUCCGUUGUGAAAGCCCCGAGCUCAACUUGGGAAUUGCAGUGGAUACUGGCAGGCUGGAGUACGGUAGAGGAAGGUGGAAUUCCCGGUGUAGCAGUGAAAUGCGUAGAUAUCGGGAGGAACACCAGUGGCGAAGGCGGCCUUCUGGACCAGUACUGACGCUCAUGCACGAAAGCGUGGGGAGCAAACAGG
rnacentral:rRNA from 1 species